UACGUAGGGGGCGAGCGUUGUCCGGAUUUAUUGGGCGUAAAGAGCGUGUAGGCGGCUUGGCAAGUCUGCUGUGAAAACUCGAGGCUCAACCUCGAGCUGUCGGUGGAAACUGCCUGGCUAGAGUCCGGAAGAGGAGAGUGGAAUUCCUGGUGUAGUGGUGAAAUGCGUAGAUAUCGGGAGGAACACCAGUGGCGAAGGCGACUACCUGGCCUGUUCUUGACGCUGAGGCGCGAAAGCUAGGGGAGCAAACGGG
rnacentral:rRNA from 1 species